ACGAAGGGUGCAAGCGUUACUCGGAAUUACUGGGCGUAAAGCGUGCGUAGGUGGUUCGUUAAGUCUGAUGUGAAAGCCCUGGGCUCAACCUGGGAAUGGCAUUGGAAACUGGCGACCUAGAGUGCGGUAGAGGGUAGUGGAAUUCCCGGUGUAGCAGUGAAAUGCGUAGAGAUCGGGAGGAAGACCGGUGGCGAAGGCGGUCUGCUGGGCAGUUUCUGACACUGAUGCGCGACAGCGUGGGGAGCAAACAGGA
rnacentral:rRNA from 1 species